AAGGUCUGUCGCUGGAUCUCUCCCAUCCCCUGGAGUGAUCUCUGGAACGGCAACCCCUCCCCAGGUUCCGUUCCUCUGGCCCCGCCGACCUCCCCCUGGUCUGCGGGGCUUUUUA
rnacentral:sRNA from 1 species